CUAUGCUGUUGCAUACUGACCCCAACCUCAAGAAAAGAAAAAUGUAUCCCCCACUUUUUUUCUUUUUAAUUUCUGAAAUCUGAUAUGGGAAAAAAAAUCUUUACACAUAAUUUUAAAGCAGUGUAAGGGAGGUAAUCAAACAUGUCUGGAUUACCUUAAUAUAUUUGGAUUACCUUCCUUACACUGGUUUCAAAUUGUCUUAAUUGACCAUUAACCAAGAAACCCUUGUUUUUCCCUCUUUUUUGCCUCUAAUUCCUAAACGGUUUGAGCCAUAACACCUCCCCCCACCUACCCUCCGAGCAAAUCAUAACCAUCCCUUUUGUAGUUUGGAAACUUGUGGUAUAAUUUCAGAGAGAUUCAUACACUUAAUGACUGGAAACUACAAAAAUGUUUAUUUCGACCCCCUUUUUGGCUCCUAAUUCCUAAACAGUUAAGACCAUAACCCCCCCCCCCCCCCCCCCCCCCCCCCCAAAUCAAUCCCAACCUUUCUUUAGUGGUUAUAAACCUUGUGUUAAAAUUUGAUUGAUUUCUAUUUACUUAAACAAAAGUUAUUAUCCGGAAAACAUCUGUCUUCGGCGACGCUGACGACGACGACGUGAUAGCAAUAUACGACCAUUUUUUUUU
rnacentral:lncRNA from 1 species